GGGGCACCGCGGGCGGGCUGCCGUGGGAUGGGCGGUCGGUGGCGGCGCUCCCCGACGCCGGGCGGCCGGCGGAGUCCUCCCGGCGCGAAUGCUUUCCCUUUCUGCAUGUCCUCUUUCUUGUAACCCAGACGUCAUUUUUUCAUUGCGAAGACGAAAUGCGCGGAACGUGAGCGGUCAUUUCGAGGGGCCGCACCUGGGGACGGAGCCCAAGCCCCCGCUCUGUUUGAAGAAUAGCCGCGUCUGUUUGCCACACUUCCGCGCCCUCGUUUUUUCGCCACCCUCCUCCUCUUCCUUCCCGCCGAGGGUGAUGAGAACUACAGGACUGAUUGCCUGAACUCCUGGGCCUUUCAUCCAAAACCCGAACCAAAGAGGGUUGAGGUCUUCUCAGGAGGCAGUUGGAAGGGGCAUGUUUGUUGGCAGUGUUUGAGGAAUUGUGGCAAGCAGAAGCGGUCACAGAACAACGGAUAGAAGCGAGUGUACUGCAGAAAGGGGGGAAAAUGGAUUCCAUAGACCACAAACGGCAUGUAUGUCUAUUGAUGACUUGGAAAGGAAAAUAGUGUCUAUGGUGACUUAAAGAUGAAGUUCAUGCCAAAUUAGAAUCAUUCAAAUAAGCACUUAUUGAGAAUGUACUAGUACUAUGUACCUACCAAGCAAGCUCUGUGCAAGGCUCUGAUGUAUGGAAAUGUGUGAGAUGCAGCCUCAGUCUCAAGAGUCAACUGUGAUGAUGAGAGAGAUGCCAAAGAUGACGAAAGUCAGCCCUCACUACGGUAUUGGACAGAGUUUUCUGUUAAAUCCCUGUGAACAAGAUGGAGGAAAGUAAGCUAAGAUGCUAUAGUUAGACGGCUUGAGUGUCCUUUGGUUCGUCGCAAUUUAAGUGUUGAUGAAGCUGGCUUUGAGCUCCUGAGCAGUAUUCAGAGGAUUGCUACUUGUCCACAUAGUCUGUACUGUCCUCCUUUGGACCUGUCCUUAACCUAUUUUCAUGAAAGAAAAAAAAAGUUAUUGACUGCCUAGAGGAAGAGGUACAUAGAAUAUUUAGCAGAUCUGCCAUGUGUUGCAAAACCAGCAGGAACAGAUAAUGUGAUAGGUGACAGAUUAGGACUUGUAAAUCUCCGUCAGCUACAAAAAUGGAGGAGUGCUAAAAAAAUGAAACGUAAAAUAAAUUGGGGAAAAUAGAGCAAACAGGCACUUCAGUACAUCAAUGAUGGUACAACCUCACCCACCCACUCUCCCACUGUGUGUUCUCAAACCAAGUUAGCAGUGUUUUUUCAAAAGCCUGUAAAACAUUCCAUCUUUAAACUAUUGUUAUUGUACUUGGCAAAUAAAUCCUAAGAAAAUAGCUACAAAUGACAAGUUCCAAACUACAGUGUGCUCAUGGCAAUAUUAUAUAUGAAAGCCAAAAAAAAAAAGUUGGAAACAACCUAAAUUCUAAAACCAAAGGGGAUGUUAAACAGUGGACUAUUCAUAGAGAAUAUUAUGCAGCCAUUAAAAAGCAUGAAUGGUCCAACAAAGCUUAUGAUACACUGUAAAUUUUUAACAUGAUACAAAAUUAUAUAUGCUGUUUUAUUGUAAUGAUGUAAACAAUAAAACACCUAAUAGAAAUAAAGAUUAACUGCCUCAAAACAUUAACAGUGGUAAACAUUAACAUUUUACUAGGGAGUUCUGUCCCAGCUCGCGAAACGAAUCCAACUAAUAUCCAUGAGGAUGUGGAUUCGAUCCCUGGUCUCAAUCAUUAGGUUAAGGAUCCAGCGCUGCCAUGAGCUGUGGUGUAGAUCAGCAGCUUCCAUUUGACCCCUAGCCUGGAAACUUCCAUAUGCCAUGAGCAUGGCCCUAAAAAGCAAAAACAAAACAAAACAUUUUGCUAAAGUGGUAAGAUGACAGUAGGUUCUUCCUGUUUUUUUCUUUACUUCCCAAAUUUGUAUCAUGAACCUAUAUUAUUUCUACAGUAGAAAAAUAAGCAUUAAAAUAUCACUGUACUUUAACCUUAAGCUUUUCAUUCUAAGGAGUGAGUACAUGGGUGCGUGUUAACUUUGUUCUCUGUAUGUUUGGUUUCAUUGUGUUUUCAAAUAAAUUAAUUUUGUGAA
rnacentral:lncRNA from 1 species